AAUGAACGCUGGCGGCGUGCCUCAGACAUGCAAGUCGAACGCGAAAUUUCCCUUCGGGGAGAAAGUAGAGUGGCGCACGGGUGAGUAACACGUAGGUAAUUUGCCUUUGGGUGGGGAAUAACUCAGGGAAACUUGAGCUAAUACCGCAUAAUGCAGCGGCUCGACAUCGAGACAGUUGUUAAAGCGGGGAAUUGGAGCAAUCCGACCUCGCGCCUAAAGAGAAGCCUGCGCAGAUUAGCUAGUUGGUAAGGUAAUGGCUUACCAAGGCGACGAUCUGUAACCGGCCUGAGAGGGCGGUCGGUCACACUGACACUGACAUACGGGUCAGACUCCUA
rnacentral:rRNA from 1 species